UAUCAAAAAUAAAAAUAUUAAAUAAAUUUCAAUAAAUUCUAAUUGAAUAAUUAUUGAAAUCCUAAUUAAAAUCCUAAUGAAUCUCAAUAAAAUUCUAAUUUAAGUCCUAAUUAAAUACUAAUUGAAAUCCUAAUGAACUUUAAUCAAAUCCUAAAUAAAAUUCUAAAUAAAAUCUUAAUGAACUUUAAUCAAAUCCUAAAUCAAAUCUUAAUUGAAUCUUAAUUAAUAUUCUAAUUGAAAUCCUAAUGAAUUGUAAUAAAUUCUAGGAUAAAUUCUAAUAAAUCCUAAUGAAAUCCUAAUAAAUCUUUAUCAAAUCCUAUACUAAUUUCAAUUUAAUAUUUAAUAAAAUCCUACUAAAAUCCUAAAAAAACUUUAAGUCCUAGACCAAUUCUAAUAAAAUCAUUGAAAAAUCAUAAAUCCUAAAUCUAUCCUAAUGAAAUUUUAAAAAAAUCCUAAAUUCUAACCAAAUCCUAAAUUUCAAACCAACUCUAAUAAAAUCCUAAUAAAACUUUAAACCUUAGACUAAUCCUAAUGAAAUCUUAGAAUAAUUUUAAAUCCUAAAUUAAUCCUAAUCAAAUCUUAACAAAACUACAAAUCCUAACCAAAUACUAAAU
rnacentral:lncRNA from 1 species